GUGAGCGAGCAGCCCGCGCGGGUUCGAUCCCUGGGAUCAUCAUCCGCGCGUCUCACCGGGAUUUAUUCCCAAAUAAAUUUCCAGCUCUCCUGUGCCAGCGCCACAAUAGUAGAGUGACGUCCUCGUCACGCACAAGGUUCUUAGGUGGCUUUGUGCAUCUCAUUAGCACGUGUGUGUAUAGUUGAUAGGUCUAGCAUGCGUGUAGGGGUGUGUGUGUGUGCGUGGUGGAGUGCGUUUGCACGUAUGUUCAGAUAGUUGAUAGGUCUAGCAUGCGUGCCAGCGCCACAAUAGUAGAGUGACGUCCUCGUCACGCACAAGGUUCUUAGGUGGCUUUGUGCAUCUCAUUAGCACGUGUGUGUAUAGUUGAUAGGUCUAGCAUGCGUGUAGGGGUGUGUGUGCGUGGUGGAGUGCGUUUGCACGUAUGUUCAGAUAGUUGAUAGGUUUAGCAUGCGUGUAGGGGUGUGUGUGUGCGUGGUGGAGUGCGUUUGCACGUAUGUUCAGAUACUACAGCUUGUACUCUGUACUCAAAGUGGAGAGCUCUCAAAUGUGCGUGGUGGAGUGCGUUUGCACGUAUGUUCAGAUAGUUGAUAGGUCUAGCAUGCGUGCCAGCGCCACAAUAGUAGAGUGACGUCCUCGUCACGCACAAGGUUCUUAGGUGGCUUUGUGCAUCUCAUUAGCACGUGUGUGUAUAGUUGAUAGGUCUAGCAUGCGUGUAGGGGUGUGUGUGUGCGUGGUGGAGUGCGUUUGCACGUAUGUUCAGAUACUACAG
rnacentral:lncRNA from 1 species